AACGCUAGCUACAGGCUUAACACAUGCAAGUCGAGGGGUAACGAGAGAAAAGCUUGCUUUUCUUGUUGACGACCGGCGCACGGGUGAGUAACGCGUAUCCAACCUGCCCACAACUAGAGAAUAACCUUGCGAAAGUAAGACUAAUGCUCUAUAAUUUCCUCAGAUGGCAUCUGACGAGGAAUAAAGAUUUAUCGGUUAUGGAUGGGGAUGCGUCUGAUUAGCUUGUUGGCGGGGUAACGGCCCACCAAGGCAACGAUCAGUAGGGGUUCUGAGAGGAAGGUCCCCCACAUUGGAACUGAGACACGGUCCAAACUCCUACGGGAGGCAGCAGUGAGGAAUAUUGGUCAAUGGGCGCAAGCCUGAACCAGCCAAGUAGCGUGCAGGAUGACGGCCCUAUGGGUUGUAAACUGCUUUUAUACAGGGAUAAAGUUAGCCACGUGUGGCUAUUUGCAGGUACUGUAUGAAUAAGGACCGGCUAAUUCCGUGCCAGCAGCCGCGGUAAUACGGAAGGUCCAGGCGUUAUCCGGAUUUAUUGGGUUUAAAGGGAGCGUAGGCCGUCUGUUAAGCGUGUUGUGAAAUGUAGAUGCUCAACAUCUGAAUUGCAGCGCGAACUGGCAGACUUGAGUGUGCGCAACGUAGGCGGAAUUCGUGGUGUAGCGGUGAAAUGCUUAGAUAUCACGAAGAACUCCGAUUG
rnacentral:rRNA from 1 species